GACGAACGCUGGCGGCGUGCUUAACACAUGCAAGUCGAACGGAAAGGCCCUGCUUUUGUGGGGUGCUCGAGUGGCGAACGGGUGAGUAACACGUGAGUAACCUGCCCUUGACUUUGGUAUAACUUCAGGAAACUGGGGCUAAUACCGGAUAGGAUCUCCUGCUGCAUGGUGGGGGUUGGAAAGUUUCGGCGGUUGGGGAUGGACUCGCGGCUUAUCAGCUUGUUGGUGGGGUAGUGGCUUACCAAGGCUUUGACGGGUAGCCGGCCUGAGAGGGUGACCGGCCACAUUGGAACUGAGAUACGGCCCAGACUCCUACGGGAGGCAGCAGUGGGGAUUAUUGAACAAUGGGCGGAAGCCGGAGGCAGCAACGCCGCGUGCGGGAUACCGGCCUUCGGGUUGUAACCCGCUUUCGCCUGUGCCGAAGCGUGAGUGACGGUAAUGGGUAAAGAAGCACCGGCUAACUACGUG
rnacentral:rRNA from 1 species